rnacentral:rRNA from 1 species
GACGAACGCUGGCGGCGUGCUUAACACAUGCAAGUCGAACGGAAAGGCCCUGCUUUUGUGGGGUGCUCGAGUGGCGAACGGGUGAGUAACACGUGAGUAACCUGCCCUUGACUUUGGGAUAACUUCAGGAAACUGGGGCUAAUACCGGAUAGGAGCUCCUGCUGCAUGGUGGGGGUUGGAAAGUUUCGGCGGUUGGGGAUGGACUCGCGGCUUAUCAGCUUGUUGGUGGGGUAGUGGCUUACCAAGGCUUUGACGGGUAGCCGGCCUGAGAGGGUGACCGGCCACAUUGGGACUGAGAUACGGCCCAGACUCCUACGGGAGGCAGCAGUGGGGAAUAUUGCACAAUGGGCGGAAGCCUGAUGCAGCAACGCCGCGUGCGGGAUGACGGCCUUCGGGUUGUAACCCGCUUUCGCCUGUGACGAAGCGUGAGUGACGGUAAUGAGUAAAGAAGCACCGGCUAACUACGUG